AGCAGGGGUGGUCUCUCCAGCAUGAGCUACUAAUGCCACGCACCUGGGACGGGACCCCUCCUACCAGGGGUCCUCUUCUCCUCGGGUCGCUUAGUCGGAGCCCCAGUUGUUUCUCUAAAACUGAAUUAAAUCCCCCUUCUCCAGGAGGAGAGAGGGUCCACUGCCUCUCUGCGCCACUUCCCUCUUCUAUGAAGUGAAGGCGAAAUACUAUUACCUCCUCGGGUUCUCUACACCAGUGGGCGGUCCACAGUGAUGCUCACUGAGGAAGCUCAGAGACAGCGUGAUUGUCUGAGGCCACACCACACAGCCGGUCAGUGGGAACACUGGACUCAGAACUCUGAACGGACUCGGGGAGAGUGAGGAAAUGAAGCCACUUGGAAGAAUGAGCUUGCCUGUUAACCUGGAGGCCAAAUGUGAAGUCUUCCCAUGCACAGGGAGGGAGGCUGGUGGUCAGAGCCGGUGGCCAGAGGGUUAGUCUCAGGAAUCAGUCUUGACUGCCCUCGGGGGCUCCUGGAGGGGACACUAUAGGGAGCAUCGGGAGACUGUUCAAAACAUGGGUUCUUGGGCUCUGUCCCCCAGAGAUUCUGUUCCAGGGCAUCAGAUGGGUUUCUGUGCCUGCACCUGUUACAAGAGCAUUGGGCAGUCUCGGGAAGCUAAGCUCUGUGCCAGUCUGCUAGGGCUGCCGUACCAGAUUGCCGCGGACUGGGUGGCUUAAACAACAAUUUACUUUCUCACAGUUUGGCAGCUAGAAUGCAAGAUCAAGUUGCCAGCAGGGUUGGUUUCUGGUGAGGCCUUUCCUUCUGGCUUGUAGGAGGCAGCCCUCUCAUUGUUUCCUCAUGUAGCCUUUCCUCUGUGCACACAGUCUUUUUUUAAAAAAAAUAAUCUUAUUGAUUUGAGAGAGAGAGAAACAUCAGUUUGUUGUUCCACGUAUUC